rfam:Ovis aries breed Texel chromosome 3, whole genome shotgun sequence.
UCCCUGGUGGCUCAGACAGUAGAGAAUCUGCCUGCAAUGCAGCAGACCCAGGUUCAAUCCCUGGGUCGGGAA